rnacentral:lncRNA from 1 species
AGCUAUAUUUAGAGUUUAACAUUUAUGGAACAAAAUGCAGAACUACAUGUAUUAAACAAAACAGAAAACUUACUGAUAUGAUUUUCUAGUCCUGCUUCUAAUUUCUUCAGCCACAAUACAAAUUAAUUUAUCUUGAAUCACUGAUAUCCUUUCUUCCACUUGAUUGAAUCGGCUAUUGAAGCUUGUGCAUGCAUCACGAAGUUCUCAUGCUAUGGUUUUCAGCUCCAUCAGGUCAUUUAAGGUCUUCUCUACACUGUUUAUUCUAGUUAGCCAUUCGCCUGACCUUUUUUCAAGGUUUUUUGCUUUCUUGCAUUGGGUUAGAACAUGCUCCUUUAGCUCGGAGAAGUUUGAUUACUGACCUUUUGAAGCCUACUUCUGUCAACUCGUCAAACUCGUUCUCCAUCCAGUUUUGUUCCAUUGCUGGCAAGGAUCUGCUAUCCUUUGGAGGAGAAGAGGCAGUCUGGUUUUUGGAAUUUUCAGCUUUUGUGUUCUGGUUUCUCCCCAUUUUUGUGGUUUUAUUUACCUUUGGUCUUUGAUGUUGGUGACCUACAGA